UACGUAGGUGGCGAGCGUUGUCCGGAUUUACUGGGCGUAAAGAGCUCGUAGGCGGUUCGGCAAGUCGGGUGUGAAAUUUCGAGGCUCAACCUCGAAACGCCACUCGAUACUGCUGUGACUGGAGUCCGGUAGAGGAGUGCGGAAUUCCUGGUGUAGCGGUGAAAUGACGCAGAUAUCAGGAGGAACACCAACGGCGAAGGCAGCACUCUGGGCCGGUAACUGACGUGGAGGAGCGAAAGCGUGGGGAGCAAACAGG
rnacentral:rRNA from 1 species